GACGAACGCUGGCGGCGUGCUUAACACAUGCAAGUCGAACGGAAAGGCCCUGCUUGCAGGGUACUCGAGUGGCGAACGGGUGAGUAACACGUGGGUGAUCUGCCCUGCACUUCGGGAUAAGCCUGGGAAACUGGGUCUAAUACCGGAUAGGAGCCAUUUUUAGUGUGAUGGUUGGAAAGUUUUUUCGGUGUAGGAUGAGCUCGCGGCCUAUCAGCUUGUUGGUGGGGUAAUGGCCUACCAAGGCGGCGACGGGUAGCCGGCCUGGGAGGGUGGGCGGCCACAUUGGGACUGAGAUACGGCCCAGGCUCCUACGGGAGGCAGCAGUGGGGAAUAUUGCACAAUGGGCGCAAGCCUGAUGCAGCGACGCCGCGUGGGGGAUGACGGCCUUCGGGUUGUAAACUCCUUUCGCUAGGGACGAAGCUUUUUGUGACGGUACCUAGAUAAGAAGCACCGGCUAACUACGUG
rnacentral:rRNA from 1 species